AAAACCACAACACCCAAUCCAACCUCUUUCAUGAGUCCGGAAAAAAAGGAGAAACUCAUGACUAAUCAAAAAUUAGAACAGGAUCAAGAACUAGUGGGCAAGUAAAAUGUUAUAUUAAUAGCCCUCACUUUCUGGACCCGUGAAGGCUUGUUUUCCUUUUCAUCUUCCAGCGCUUCCUUCCCUUUUUACAUUUUCUUGGAAACCAAACAACAAGUACAAGCCUGAUCCAAAGCCGCACUACAUUUCCAAGAAAGAAGCCCCCAAAAAGAAAGAAACCGAACCAAAUCUUGCCUUCAUGCAUGAGAGGAGCACAGGGUACUCAAAGUAAUGACGUUGGGCUGAGCUCGGGCAGCAUGGUGAUAUGGGCGAGAUUUUCAUAUGAGGGGUGCCAUUGCUUCUUUGCCCUUACAUCGAUGUUUAAUGAGAAGGGUGCUAUUGCAUCUGCAACAUACAAAGCGGAGGAACGAAGGCUUCUUGAAGCUAGGAUUUGAUAUUCCCAAGAGAAAAAACGAAGGCUUCUGUCAUGUGACCUUCAGCUUGGCCUACGGUUUCGCCCGAUAAAUGUCGACAUUGAACACAAGUGUAGGAUUGGGUGCAUUGGUGUUAAAGACAAACACCAAUGGAAAAGCUAACGGGUGUAAAAAGGUCGGUGGGCUUUACACACACCCCCAUCCUUCCUGAAUUCCAAUAUGCAAUUAUAUCAUAUAAAGUCUUUCAAGAAUCCAAUCAAGUCACGGAAGACUUUACAGGACUCUUGAAGUAUUUCUUGUCUCA